AACGAACGCUGGCGGCAGGCUUAACACAUGCAAGUCGAGCGCCCCGCAAGGGGAGCGGCAGACGGGUGAGUAACGCGUGGGAACAUACCCUUUCCUGCGGAAUAGCUCCGGGAAACUGGAAUUAAUACCGCAUACGCCCCACGGGGGAAAGGUUUAUCGGGGAAGGAUUGGCCCGCGUUGGAUUAGCUAGUUGGUGGGGUAAAGGCAUACCAAGGCGACGAUCCAUAGCUGGUCUGAGAGGAUGAUAAGCCACAUUGGGACUGAGACACGGCCCGAGCUCCUACGGGAGGCAGCGGUGGGGAAUAUUGGACAAUGGGCGCAAGCCUGAUCCAGCCAUGCCGCGUGAGUGAUGAAGGCCUUAGGGUUGUAAAGCUCUUUCACCGGAGAAGAUAAUGUCGGUAUCCGGAGAAGAAGCCCCGGCUAACUUCGUGCCAGCAGCCGCCGUAA
rnacentral:rRNA from 1 species